GACCCUCUUGCCUUCUUUUCAUUCCUUUCUCUCUGUUUUUCUUUCUUUUCAUUCAGCAGCCUUUCGCUUCAUGGAAAUAUAUUCCAAGGAUUCCGUGUUGCAGUUCUCACAAAGAUAUAGUCUAAGCUAGGUUGUAAAACUCUAGUCUUGCUUUGACGUUUAUUUGAUCAUUGGUGGGUUUGGCUUGGUUUCCGCUUGUAAGUUUUGUUGUUGGUUACAAUAUAAUUUGUCGACAAAACAAGGUUUUUGUUUGGGUUUUGUUCUGGAUUGUGUUUUCUGGUUGUUUAUUGAAAAAUGACUAGUGGAGAAGAGAAGAACGCUGAUUUCUAUGCUGUGUUGGGUUGUGAAUAAGGAAUGCACUCAAACAGCUCCGGACUGCUUAAGAAACUUGCCCUGAGAUGGCACCCCGAUCGUUGCUCUGCAUCGCAAAAUUCCAAAUUCGUGGAAGAAGCCAAGAAGAAAUUCAGGCCAUUCAACAAGCCUAUUCUGUUCUGUCUGACGCAAACAAGAGAUUCCUGUACGACGUAGGAUUCUAUGACACUGACGACGACGAAAAUG